rnacentral:rRNA from 1 species
UACGAGAGGCCCAAACGUUAUUCGGAUUUACUGGGCUUAAGGAGUUCGUAGGCGGUGCAGAUAGUGGGGUGUGAAAGCCCUCAGCUCAACCGAGGAAUUGCGCUCCAAACUACUGUGCUAGAGGAACCUAGAGGUGAGCAGAACAGAUGGUGGAGCGGUGAAAUGCGUUGAUAUCAUCUGGAAUACCGGAGGCGAAGGCGGCUCACUGGGGGUUUUCUGACGCUGAGGAACGAAAGCCAGGGUAGCGAACGGG